rnacentral:rRNA from 1 species
UACCGCAUACCGCCCGUACGGGGAAAGGCCGGGGAUCUUCGGACCUGGCGCUAGUAGAUGAGCCCGCGUGAGAUUAGCUUGUUGGUGGGGUAAUGGCCUACCAAGGCAACGAUCUCUAGCUGGUCUGAGAGGACGAUCAGCCACACUGGGACUGAGACACGGCCCAGACUCCUACGGGAGGCAGCAGUGGGGAAUAUUGGACAAUGGGCGAAAGCCUGAUCCAGCAAUGCCGCGUGUGUGAAGAAGGCCUGAGGGUUGUAAAGCACUUUCAAUCGUGAAGAAAAGUUGCAGGCUAAUACCCUGUGACCUUGACGUUAACGAUACAAGAAGCACCGGCUAACUCCGUG